rnacentral:lncRNA from 1 species
AUGUUGUAUGAAUGGAUCUAUAUUCAAAGGGACUCGAACUGUACACCGAUCACAAACUCAGACAAAAAUUUUUCACAAAGGCACAAAGCACUGCGCAGAAGCUGCACCAAUCCUUGCCGUCCCUGGCAGCAGAAUGGUAGAAGGUGGGAGAGACCAGGAAUCCUUCCAGGCUGUGCUGACUUUAGAAAUGAGGAUUGCACACGUUUGUCUCCUGAACCAAAAGGAGAUAAGCAGCAGAAUUUAUCAGGCGUGAAAGGGACAGCCUCCUGGUGGCCUGCCAAAAACCCAGAAUAAAGGCGAAGUUGUGCUUCAAAGCUCAGUCGCUUGCUGAGUCUGGCUAAAGUCAAGUAUUAAGAUCCACCAUUUUCUGAGCCAUGCUAGAAAAGAAGAAAAAAGUCAGGACGGUUGCUGCUUUCCAAGUCUCCGUUGGCACCAUCACAAAAUCUCAGUCGUAAGGUCACAUGAUUCUCUGCCAAAUGUAGAGUGCAUUCCCAUCAACCAUUCUGCUGAUACUGCAAAGGCAGCUAUUGUCUCGUUUAGACCCAAAGUUCAGCCCACUCUUCAUUGAAUUAGCUGAAAAACGCAUCACCUUUGGGGGCUGGGAGUCAUGGAAACGUCUACCUGGCAAGCUGCCCACUUUUUCUGCCCAUCAACCAGAGAUGGAAUUGUGCUGCCUAAUGCAAUGAUGACUUGGAAUGUGAAGAGUCGUCCAAAGUGAAUCUGAUUCUUGCAACGCCUGUUUCAGUUUGCACAGAAAACUCUGGCUUCUUGUAGUUAAGGGUGUGUGUGUGCUGGGGGGGAAUCCUUCAGACUAAAUGUAGCAAAUAAAGGUCUGAACAUGCCUACUCCGUAACUUUAU